rnacentral:rRNA from 1 species
AUACGUAGGGUGCGAGCGUUGUCCGGAAUUACUGGGCGUAAAGAGCUCGUAGGUGGUUUGUCGCGUCGUCUGUGAAAUUCCGGGGCUUAACUCCGGGCGUGCAGGCGAUACGGGCAUAACUUGAGUACUGUAGGGGAGACUGGAAUUCCUGGUGUAGCGGUGAACUGCGCAGAUAUCAGGAGGAACACCGGUGGCGAAGGCGGGUCUCUGGGCAGUAACUGACGCUGAGGAGCGAAAGCAUGGGUAGCGAACAGGAUUAGAUACCCUGGUAGUCCAUGCCGUAAACGGUGGGCGCUAGGUGUAGGGGUCUUCCACGACUUCUGUGCCGUAGCUAACGCAUUAAGCGCCCCGCCUGGGGAGUACGGCCGCAAGAUUAAAACUCAAAGGAAUUGACGGGG